rnacentral:rRNA from 1 species
CCUACGGGGGACAGCAGUGGGGAAUAUUGCGCAAUGGGCGAAAGCCUGACGCAGCGACGCCGCGUGAGGGAUGAAGGUCUUCGGAUCGUAAACCUCUGUCAGCAGGGAAGAACGGUCACUGUGCUAAUCAGCAGUGAAUUGACGGUACCUGCAAAGGAAGCACCGGCUAACUCCGUGCCAGCAGCCGCGGUAAUACGGAGGGUGCGAGCGUUAAUCGGAAUUACUGGGCGUAAAGCGCUCGUAGGCGGUAUGUCAAGUCAAGGGUGAAAUCCCCGCGCUCAACGUGGGAACUGCCGUUGAAACUGGCAAACUGGAGUGUGUGAGAGGAUAGUGGAAUUCGAGGUGUAGGAGUGAAAGCCGUAGAUAUCUGGAGGAACAUCAGUGGCGAAGGCGACUAUCUGGCACAUAACUGACGCUGAGGAGCGAAAGCGUGGGUAGCAAACAGGAUUAGAUACCCGAGUAGUC